rnacentral:rRNA from 1 species
UACGUAGGGUGCAAGCGUUGUCCGGAAUUAUUGGGCGUAAAGAGCUCGUAGGCGGUCUGUCGCGUCUGCUGUGAAAACUCAGGGCUUAACCCUGAGCUUGCAGUGGGUACGGGCAGACUAGAGUGCGGUAGGGGAGACUGGAAUUCCUGGUGUAGCGGUGAAAUGCGCAGAUAUCGGGAGGAACACCGGUGGCGAAGGCGGUUCUCUGGGCCUGACCUGACGCUGAGGAGCGAAAGCGUGGGGAGCAAACAGG